rnacentral:rRNA from 1 species
UACGUAGGGGGCGAGCGUUGUCCGGAAUCAUUGGGCGUAAAGAGCUCGUAGGCGGCUUGGCAAGUCGGAUGUGAAACUCCAGGCUCAACCUGGAGCCGCCAUUCGAUACUGCUAUGGCUAGAGUCCGGUAGGGGAGUGCGGAAUUCCCGGUGUAGCGGUGAAAUGCGCAGAUAUCGGGAGGAACACCGAUGGCGAAGGCAGCACUCUGGGCCGGCACUGACGCUGAGGAGCGAAAGCGUGGGAGCGAACGAGG